GGGUAGCUCAGUUGGUAGAGACCACAAGGCUCUUAAUCUCAGGGCCGUGGGUUCGAAACUCCAUGUUGGGCU